rnacentral:lncRNA from 1 species
GAUAUUUUCUUUUAUUUUUUUUAUUUUUAUUUUGGAAAUAUUCGUGUUUAAUCUAAUAAUUUGUAUCCGAAUCCUCACGAGUACACAAACCUUUUAUUCUCUCUGUUACUAUGGAAACGCGGAUUUAUCGUUAUCGUUCACGUGAUCUUCCUCUUCCUGUUCCGGUCUCGGUGUCCGGAAACCGGAAGCGAGUUGGGUUCGACCUCCGUUGCCCGGAUGGACGCUCCCAUCCAAUUAUACACUCCAUCAGACUGCGUAAUUUGAUUAUCCAGUCUUUUCUAGUCCAUAUCAAGACACACAACCUCGUUAGUUAUUCAGCAGCCGAUAAACUUAACUAGACUUGGACCGUCCGUUUCUUUUUGUUGAUGCAUGGAAAACGAAUGCCCAAAUUAACAUCCUCUUCCGUUUCUCCAAAGCAUUUAAACCGGCAACUCUGUUUUUGCAACUGCCAGCUUAAUGCGAGGCAUCAUUGAACCAAAAUAGUCGUUUGCUGUUUUGCGGCCGAUCAAAGAUGAUGCCAAGAGAGAAAAAGUUUUUCGAGAGCGAAAAAAAAAAAAAAAAAAAUAUAUUCCCGUUUAUUGUUUAAACUUGAUGAUAAAUUCUUCCUAUCGAACGAAACUAACCAAAUUUCCCAUAUAUCUUAAUAAACAACAGCCAAGGUAUUCGUACGAAAUUUAUUCAUAAAAUCUUUUAACCACAACUGAAUAUUUUUCAUAGGUAUCGCACCUAUGUGCGUACAUAUAAGGAAAUUAUUCGCUUCCACCAAGGUAAUUUGCUCAUCACAAAUUAUCCUCCAGCGAAAGUUAACUAUUUUUCAU